CCAUUGUCGCUCUCGACUGAUCCUGAGCUGCUCAAUCCAAGCACAUCCAAUGGCCGGCCUGCAGAUAAUCGGGUCCUCACCGACGGCGAUGGCCGGAAAUCGGCCGGUGCCGUGCUUUGACGGGCUCCGACUCGCGCCGUCUGGGAUCAGGAUGUUCUCUUCCGCGGGCGGCUGCCGGUUGCGGUCCGAGCCGAGGGGGUUCCGGAGUCUCAUCGUCAAGGCCGCCACUGUCGUCGCGCCGAAGUAUACUUCAGUCAAGCCUUUGGGUGAUAGAGUGCUUGUCAAGAUCAAGUCAUCUGAGGAGAAAACAACCGGUGGUAUUUUGCUUCCGACAACUGCCCAGACAAAACCUCAGGCUGGGGAAGUAGUCGCAAUUGGAGAGGGAAGGACUAUCGGCAAGAACAAAGUAGAUAUCAGUGUUCAGUCUGGAGCACAGGUAGUCUACUCCAAAUAUGCUGGGACAGAAUUGGAAUUCAAUGGAACUAACCAUCUAUUGCUGAAGGAGGAUGAUAUUGUGGGAAUUCUCGAGACUGAUGAUGUCAAGGAUCUCAAGCCUCUUAACGAUCGAGUUCUGAUAAAGGUUGCAGAAGCUGAGGAGAAGACUGCUGGUGGCUUGCUAUUGACUGAGGCAAGCAAGGAAAAGCCUUCGAUUGGGACGGUGGUUGCGGUUGGGCCUGGGCCACUGGAUGAGGAGGGGAAAAGGAAGCCACUCACUGUGUCGCCAGGGAAUACAGUACUCUACUCCAAGUAUGCGGGAUCAGAAUUUAAGGGCGCAGAUGGAUCUGACUACAUUGCUCUGAGAGCUUCUGAUGUGAUGGCGGUGCUUUCAUAAUUUUGCAGUUAAAGUUGUUGAGAGGAUAGAUAGAUAUUUGAAAAGGGCGUGUUAAGCAGGUAUUGCAAUGUUUUGUGUAGUGACUGUUCUGGCUUGUUCGGUAUGAGUUUCUUAGUUUGUGCAAUAAACUAGUCUAAGAGUUUUGGAUUCUUCAGAUUCUAAUUAGAUGUUAUCUAUAUUCUUAAAGUUUG
rnacentral:misc_RNA from 1 species